rnacentral:rRNA from 1 species
UACGUAGGUGGCGAGCGUUGUCCGGAAUUACUGGGUGUAAAGCGCGUGUAGGCGGGAGGCCAAGUCUGUGGUGAAAUCGCUCGGCUUAACUGGGCGGGGUCGGUGGAAACUGGUCACCUGGAGGACGGUAGAGGCGAGUGGAAUUCCCGGUGUAGUGGUGAAAUGCGUAGAGAUCGGGAGGAACACCAGUGGCGAAGGCGGCUCGCUGGGCCGGCCCUGACGCUGAGACGCG